rnacentral:misc_RNA from 1 species
UUAAGUUCAGCGGGUAGUCCUACCUGAUUUGAGGUCAGACGACAUGAAAUUGUCCGAAGACGAUUGAGAGCAUCCUUACACGCGAGACGCGGAACGGCGCCAGAAGUAGACUUAUCACACCGUUGUGACCGAUCUCGCGACGGAACGCUAAUGCAUUUCAAGACGAGCAGACCUUGAUGAAAGACUGCAACAUCCAAAUC